rnacentral:rRNA from 1 species
AUUGAACGCUGGCGGAAUGCUUUACACAUGCAAGUCGAACGGUAGAGGGGGCAACCCCUUGAGAGUGGCGAACGGGUGAGUAAUAUAUCGGAACGUGCCCAGUCGUGGGGGAUAACGUAGCGAAAGUUACGCUAAUACCGCAUACGAUCUAUGGAUGAAAGCGGGGGACCGUAAGGCCUCGCGCGAUUGGAGCGGCCGAUAUCAGAUUAGGUAGUUGGUGGGGUAAAGGCUCACCAAGCCAACGAUCUGUAGCUGGUCUGAGAGGACGACCAGCCACACUGGAACUGAGACACGGUCCAGACUCCUACGGGAGGCAGCAGUGGGGAAUUUUGGACAAUGGGGGCAACCCUGAUCCAGCCAUUCCGCGUGAGUGAAG